GGAGAAGCCAGGCGCUAAAGAGUUUCUUCCAAUUACACUGCAUUGAGCCGGGGAAAGGGACUAUGAUUUAGGUAAGAAAAGAUUGCCACAAAACAUGGAUCAUUGAGAUAUGAAUCAACUGCUGUCCAGUCCAUCAUGACUUCCUCAUCAUAGACAAGGAAAUUACAUGGUGGGAAGUCAAAUGAUCAUCAGAAGACAGUUUGGAGAGGCUGGAAUCAGAGUGAGAAGAGGGAGCCGGCGG